CGCGGCCUAUUUUUGGCACACGGAGACGCCUCGCAAAGUCUAGCGCCAUUCCGAGUCCGGCGGAAGAAGUUGGCCAGCCCCACCCCCCAAGCCUAUAGCCCACCCGUAUUUGUGGCCUUUUUCCGCUGGACGAACUUGGCGCCCCGGCCUUCGGGCGGUUAUUUCUUGGUGCGGCAGUGCCCGUGGCCUAUUUUUGGCGCACGGAGGCGCCUCACAAAGUCUCGGGCCAUUCCGAGUCCGGCGGACGAAGUUGGCCAGCCCCACCUCCCAAGGCUAUAGCCCACCCGUAUUUGUGGCCUUUUUGCGCUGGACGAACUUGGCGCCCCGGCCUUCGGGUGGUUAUUUCUUGGCGCGGCAGUGCCCGCGGCCUAUUUUUGGCACACGGAGGCGCCUCACAAAGUCUCGGGCCAUUCCGAGUCCGGCGGACGAAGUUGGCCAGCCCCACCCCCCAAGGCUAUAGCCCACCCGUAUUUGUGGCCUUUUUCCGCUGGACGAACUUGGCGCCCCGGCCUUCGGGCGGUUAUUUUUGGGCGCGGCUGUGCCCGCGGCCUAUUUUUGGCACACGGAGGCGCCUGGCAAAGUCUCGCGCCAUUCCGAGUCCGGCGGACGAAGUUGGCCAGGCCCACCCCCCAAGGCUAUUGCCCACCCG
rnacentral:lncRNA from 1 species